GAGGAGAGUUUUUGUUGCUUCUAGAUAGUUCUCUCUCUAUUUUUGUAUCUUUGUAAAGAGCGAGAGUUUUGUAUCCAUGUAUAGAGAUCACCAUUUGGAUAUGUUUAGCACUUGUAUUUGGAUUUCUUAUUGUACUACUUCUCGCUUACUUAGUGGAUUUAGCUCUUUUAUUUACUUUCCUAUUCUAGCAUCUAGUUGUUGUGUGC
rnacentral:lncRNA from 1 species